ensembl:snRNA U6 U6 spliceosomal RNA
CUGCUCGCUUCAGCAGCACCUACAGUAAAAUUGGAAUGAUGCAGAUUAGCGUGGCCCCUGCACAAGAAUGACAUGUAAAAUUUGUGGAGCAUUCCAUAUUUAG